rnacentral:rRNA from 1 species
AGAGUUUGAUCCUGGCUCAGGAUGAACGCUGGCGGCGUGCUUAACACAUGCAAGUCGAGCGGAGAUAAAUUGAAAGCUUGCUUUUAAUUUAUCUUAGCGGCGGACGGGUGAGUAACGUGUGGGCAACCUGCCUCAUACAGAGGGAUAAUCAUGUGAAAACGUGACUAAUACCGCAUGUCGUUUCGGGAGGGCAUCCUCCUGAAAGAAAAGGAGCAAUCCGGUAUGAGAUGGGCCCGCAUCUGAUUAGCUAGUUGGUGAGAUAACAGCCCACCAAGGCGACGAUCAGUAGCCGACCUGGAGAGGGUGAUCGGCCCACAUUGGGACUGAGACACGGCCCAAACUCCUACGGGAGGCAGCA